rnacentral:tRNA from 1 species
UGCCCGGUGGUGCAGCGGUAGCACGUCUGACUUUGGCUCAGGAGACCUUGGUUCGAAUCCAGGCCGGGCAG